rnacentral:piRNA from 1 species
CCAUCCAGGACAAAGGGUCCAUUCAGAAG